rnacentral:hammerhead_ribozyme from 1 species
AGCUGGCGGACGAGUCCCAAAUAGGACGAAAUGCGCAUCCUGGAU